UGGGGGACAACGUUUCGAAAGGAACGCUAAUACCGCAUACGUCCUACGGGAGAAAGCAGGGGACCUUCGGGCCUUGCGCUAUCAGAUGAGCCUAGGUCGGAUUAGCUAGUUGGUGAGGUAAUGGCUCACCAAGGCGACGAUCCGUAACUGGUCUGAGAGGAUGAUCAGUCACACUGGAACUGAGACACGGUCCAGACUCCUACGGGAGGCAGCAGUGGGGAAUAUUGGACAAUGGGCGAAAGCCUGAUCCAGCCAUGCCGCGUGUGUGAAGAAGGUCUUCGGAUUGUAAAGCACUUUAAGGUGGGAGGAAGGGUUGUAGAUUAAUACUCUGCAAUUUUGACGUUACCGCCAGAAUAAGCACCGGCUAACUCUGUGCCAGCAGCCGCGGUAAUACAGAGGGUGCAAGCGUUAAUCGGAAUUACUGGGCGUAAAGCGCGCGUAGGUGGUUUGUUAAGUUGAAUGUGAAAUCCCCGGGCUCAACCUGGGAACUGCAUCCAAAACUGGCAAGCUAGAGUAUGGUAGAGGGUAGUGGAAUUUCCUGUGUAGCGGUGAAAUGCGUA
rnacentral:rRNA from 5 species